CAAUAGCGUAUAUUAAAGUUGUUGCAGUUAAAAAGCUCGUAGUUGGAUUUCUUGGAGGGUGCCAAUGUCCGCUACGGCGUGCGCAGCGGCGCCCUUCCAUCCUUCUGUUAACGCCUCUUGGCAUUCGUUUGCUGGUGGCGGGCUCAGAUAUUUUACCUUGAGAAAAUUAGAGUGUUUCAGGCAGGCUAGGCCGGAAUACAUUAGCAUGGAAUAAUGGGACAGGACUAUGGUCUCUUUGUUGGUUUGAGGGACUGCAGUAAUGAUUAAUAGGGACAGUUGGGGGCAUUAGUAUUUAAUUGUCAGAGGUGGAAUUCUCAGAUUUGUUAAAGACUAACUUAUGCGAAAGCAUUUGCCAAGGAUGUUUUCAUUA
rnacentral:rRNA from 1 species